UUGAAAUAAACCUGAUGGGUUGUUGCUGGUUCUCUAGGGAGCAUGUGCACGCCUUGUCAUCUUUAUAUCUCCACCUGUGCACUUUUUGUAGACCUCCCGGGGUCUAUGUUGCUUCAUUUACCCCCAAUGUAUGUUAAUAGAAUGUUGUGCCUAUUUAAUAUAUA
rnacentral:misc_RNA from 1 species